GAGACAGUGAAACGUAUUGUAAAAGAAGUAUGUAACAAAUUACCAAAAGGUGUGAAAGAUGAAUGUUCACAAUUUAUAGAUUCAUAUGGAGAUGCUGUUAUUGCUAUAUUAAUUCAAGGAAUCGAUCCAGCCCAUGUAUGUGAAAUGUUACGUCUAUGCCCCAGCAAAAGCUUUAUGAAAUUAUGGGAAAGUGUUCCAGCAAAAUAUACACUUGAAGAAAAAAGGGUUAGUAAUAAACCUAGUUGCCCGCUUUGUUUGCUGGCUAUAACAAAAGUUUAUAAUGAAAUUAAAAAUAAUAAGACUGAGG